rnacentral:siRNA from 1 species
UGAGAAACUCGAGUGGUGCUCUA